CUUAUAUUGUCCUUAGCCCAUUCGCACGCCAAAUUCCUUGUAAGUUGGUUCAUUGCACCUGCAGUAUACAUGUCAUGACAGGUCCUAAGAGAACAAGCUUUUGCAAUAGAAACAGAAGGAAAAUUAAAAUGAGAAAACAGGUCUAGAGAAGUAGUUAAGUACCUUUAGAAGCUGAAUACAAAGGAUACUGAGGGUUCAUAGAUACCACACUAAUAAUGGAAGACAUGAAGACAAUCUUUCCAGCCCCUGAAGCUUUCAAAAGGGGAUGUGCAAGUUGGGACAAAUGGAAAGCAGAUUGAAGGUUUGUGUUCAUGAGAGAUGUGAAAUCCUCAGCUGU